UUGACUAGGUCUUAUAAAGUUCUGGAUAAAGCUUAUUAUGAAAACUUUAUAUCCAUAGGUCUCGACCAAAUCUUGUGCCAGCAGUCGCGGUAAGACAAGGGAGACGAGUGUUAUUCAUCUUUAACAGGUAUAUAGGGUACCUAGACGGUGUGCAAAGGCGGCUUAAUUAAGAACCUGUUACACUUGAGUUUGAUAUGUGAGAGGAAUAUGUCGGAAUUGUUGGUGUAAAGAUGAAAUUUGUUAAUACCAAUAGGACCGGUAACGGCGAAGGCAAACCUCUAUGUACAUGUACUUGCUUAUUGUUCUAAUAAAGAAUAUGUUUACUUUUAAAAGGGAUGAUUUGAUGAUGAACAGUAAAAAGCAAAGUGCUAUAACUGACGUUGAGGGACGAAGGCUCAGAUAGUGAAGAGGAUUAGAUACCCCCGUAGCCUGGGCAGACAAUGAUGAGUGCCAUAGGUUGGCUUUAACGCGGAACUAUAAAUGAAAGUGGAAGCACUCCACCUCAAGAGUAAUGUGGCAACGCAGGAACU
rnacentral:rRNA from 1 species